rnacentral:rRNA from 1 species
GACGAACGCUGGCGGCGUGCUUAACACAUGCAAGUCGAACGGAAAGGCCCUGCUUUUGUGGGGUGCUCGAGUGGCGAAAGGGUGAGUAACACGUGAGUAACCUGCCCUUGACUUUGGGAUAACUUCAGGAAACUGGGGCUAAUACCGGAUAGGAGCUCCUGCUGCAUGGUGGGGGUUGGAAAGUUUCGGCGGUUGGGGAUGGACUCGCGGCUUAUCAGCUUGUUGGUGGGGUAGUGGCUUACCAAGGCUUUGACGGGUAGCCGGCCUGGGAGGGUGACCGGCCACAUUGGGACUGAGGUGCGGCCCAGACUCCUACGGGAGGCAGCAGUGGGGAAUAUUGCACAAUGGGCGGAAGCCUGAUGCAGCAACGCCGCGUGCGGGAUGACGGCCUUCGGGUUGUAAACCGCUUUCGCCUGUGACGAAGCGUGAGUGACGGUAAUGGGUAAAGAAGCACCGGCUAACUACGUG